CACCGUUCUUAUGUAAAUGAGGCACAAUAUAUCAAGUACCUAUUUUCACCCGUAUAGCCAACGGCAAAAUCUAAAUGUUGACUGAGCUCAGAACGUCGCUGGUGAAACGGCUAUGGCCACAACUAUCUCAGUAUCUCUCAUGAAAGCUUCUUCUCUACUUCCAUAGGCGAAACGCAUCUACUCUCUUCUCAUCCCCACUAUCCAACCAAUAAAUAUCCUGAGGUCCGAAAUGACAGGGUCCUUCAUCGCUGCUCUUCAAUGAUGUCCAGUCAGCCCUAGGAGAUUCCGUACAAGUUGGUUUUCCGUGUUAUCCACUUGUGGGAAGCAGCAGGGAACACAUCAUCCUAAUCGGGCUUGAGUUGCUACUGAUUGAUGAACAUAGAUCAAUAUCCAAACCGGAGAAGAUGAAGAAGCUGCUGUGAAGCUGGAACCUACGAAGACGAGGCAUUCUCCACUACAGUAUAAAUGUAAAUACUAUAUAUUAUGUGGGGGAAGAGAAUUGGUUUCUAUGAUCAUUUGUACGAAUUUUAAUUUUCAACCCUCUCUCUCUGCCCUCUGUUGGCUUAACCUUCUUGGGCCGAGCAUGGAGACGUAUUAAAUUUCUGCAAUCGGAUGUUUACAUUCAAAUCUGUUUUAAUGCCUGCAGAUCAAUUGGUUAAUAUCAUUGAUAUGACUGGUGUGAUCUUAGUCCUAUGCAGACAGUGUUGGUGGUAUCAGUCUAUUACAGUCGACAUGCAAACAGUGGCGGAACCAGCUUAAUCUUCCACUAGGGUCAAUUUCAUUACAAACAUUAUUACAUGGGUCGUUAAGCUAAAUCUAUAGCAUUUUCUCAAUUUUUUCUUCAGUAUACAAGUAAAUUUUGUUAUUUUUACAAACCAUGUGGGUCAUAUGACCCCCCUGACCAAGAGAUGGCUCUGCCACUGCAUGCAAAUGAGGAGAUAAGAAGUUGCAAGAAUCUACAGCAAAUGGAGAUCCACACUCAUGUAUCUAUAGACAGCCAUCUGGUCAUGAAGUUCCAGGGUUUGUCGUGUUCAUUAUCCUCUGCUCUGAUAAACUGAUGAAGAGUUUCUGGAAAGUUGUGUAAGACGAAUCUUGGUUCCAAUCUCUGGGUCGAGCUCUGUUCCUGUCGGUUUGUCUGCAAUUCAUCUCCUCUGAAACGUUACGGGAUGCAUUAACCAUUCACCUUUAACACAACCUUCUUAACUCCCUUACCUCAUUCAAUGCCUCUUAGAGGCGGUGGAUCUCCACCUAUAAAAGGGUCAGUUUUCAUCCCAUGAACAUCAGUCUCAAACUUCCUACUCGCAGUUUGAACAAUCCUGAAGUUUCAAACUUUUAGAUGUAAAAGCAUCAUCUUCUCCUUGUGUAUCUUUCUCAAACACAUAAGAGACAUUAACCCUAGCAUUUUCUCAAUAUUGCAGAGUACUUGGAGUGGAUUUUGUAACGGAUGAUGUCAAAUGAAGGUCAAAAGGGUUUUCUUAUGUCACAUUCUCUUCUAAAGAAGAAGCUGUGAAAGCUUUAUGAGAGUUUGUAGACGGGCGGCUUUUGAUUCUUAGCACAACAAGAGUUGUAAACCAGAAUCGACCCUUCUUGCAUAUCAAAGACCCCAACACAAUCUGCAGUCCCUGGUCUUGGUUUAGGAUUCAUCUAUGAUGGUAUAGUGGUUAUUGGUCAAGAAUAGGUGUUGUCUCCUGAUCCUUCGAAUUGAGUUUCAGUGUGGAAGAACGAGAAUCAACCAUGGUCUCUCAUGAGGUUCCAUUGUCCCGCAAUAGCUCAUAAUUUUUCUGUAUUUUCCAUUUGUAGAAAGUAGCUUAGAAAGUCUAAAAGAUACUUGGCUUGAUUAUAGUAGAGUAACAUGUGAGAAAAUCACUAUCAAAAAUUGUCAACCUUUUUGUUUUUUGAUCGUGAGUACAAGUAUAUAGAAUGUGUAUUAGAAGUUUUUUUUGCUUAGAUUCUUUCAUAUUCUGACAUGUCUGUAUGGUCUUCAAGAACGUAACCUUUAUCUUUAUAAAAUGAGAGAAAAUUACAAAAUAGUA